ACCUAAGUGGUUCAAGUUGGUUAGAGCGUGGUGCUGAUAACCCCAAGGCUGCAGGCUUGACCCCUGUAUAUUCCUGCAUUGGACU